GACGAACGCUGGCGGCGUGCUUAACACAUGCAAGUCGAACGGUGAACCACCUUCGGGUGGGGAUCAGUGGCGAACGGGUGAGUAACACGUGGGCAACCUGCCCUUAGCUCUGGGAUAACCCCGGGAAACCGGGGCUAAUACCGGAUACGACUCCGAGCGGCAUCACUCGGAGCGGAAAGAGUUAUCGGCUAAGGAUGGGCCCGCGGCCUAUCAGCUUGUUGGUGGGGUAACGGCCUACAAAGGCGACGACGGGUAGCCGGCCUGCAGAGGGCGACCGGCCACACUGGGACUGAGACACGGCCCAGACUCCUACGGGAGGCAGCAGUGGGGAAUAUUGCGCAAUGGGCGAAAGCCUGACGCAGCGACGCCGCGUGAGGGACGAAGGCCUUCGGGUCGUAAACCUCUUUCAGCAGGGACGAAGCGAAAGUGACUGUACCUGCAGAAGAAGCACCGGCUAACUACGUGCCAGCCGCCGCGGUAAAAC
rnacentral:rRNA from 1 species